UCCUACUAGCCACCGCAACCUUGUGGAGAUAUUUGUAUUCAAGUCCCCUUCUCCAACCAUAACACCCUCGAUUUUUGCCUCCAACUAAUCUUAUGAGCUAUAGCCAAAGAAGCUAGCUCUUUUUAACUCCUUCCUCACCUUUUCCCUAUUCACUAACCCCGUCUUCCUUUCUACCAUCUCUAACUCUCUCACCUCGUGAAUGACCAUUUUUACCUUGACCUCUACCCUGCCAAAUCUCUUAAGCAUCUUUAGUUUCCUUGCAAGUCGGAAAGACGAGUUCCCUACCACCACAUAAUUACUCCACCACCCUGCCGCUCUUUUCCUAUGUCUGACGCCUUCAACCAUAUAUUUUCAAAUCUAAAAGGAUCUCUCGCCCUCCUCCCCCACACACCCUGCCGCUCUUUUCCUAUGUCUGACGCCUUCAACCAUAUAUUUUCA
rnacentral:lncRNA from 1 species